rnacentral:tRNA from 1 species
UCCCUGGUAGCCUAGAGGGUUAAGGAUCCAGCUCUGUCACUGCUGUGGCACAGGUUCGAUCCCUGGCCUGGGAA